rnacentral:rRNA from 1 species
AGAGUUUGAUCAUGGCUCAGAACGAACGUUGGCGGCGUGGAUUAGGCAUGCAAGUCGAACGAAUCCUGGAGGGCUUGCUCUCCGGGGGAAGUGGCGAAAGGGGCAGUAAGGCGUGGGUAACCUACCCUGGGGACCGGGAUAGCCUUCCUAACGGAAGGGUAAUACCGGGCGAUCUGCGGGAGGGGCAUCUCUCCUUCAGGAGAUGAGUUUCGCCUCGGGAGGGGCUCACGUGCUAUUAGCUUGUUGGCGGGGUAACGGCCCACCAAGGCAAAGAUGGCUAGCGGGUGUGAGAGCACGACCCGCGCCACUGGCACUGAGACACUGGCCAGACUCCUACGGGAGGCUGCAGUCGAGGAUCUUCGGCAAUGGGCGCAAGCCUGACCGAGCGACGCCGCGUGCGCGAAGAAGGCCUUCGGGUUGUAAAGCGCUGUCGAGGGGGAGGAAAGCCCGCAAGGGUCUGACCUAUCCCUGGAGGAAGCACGGGCUAAGUUCGUGCCAGCAGCCGCGGUAAGACGAACCGUGCGAACGUUGUUCGGAAUCACUGGGCUUAAAGGGCGCGUAGGCGGCAUAUCAAGUCCGGGGUGAAAGCUUUCGGCUCAACCGGAAAAGUGCCUUGGAUACUGGUAUGCUCGAGGGAGGUAGGGGCGGUCGGAACUUCCGGUGGAGCGGUGAAAUGCGUAGAUAUCGGAAGGAACGCCGGUGGCGAAAGCGGGCCGCUGGACCUCAUCUGACGCUGAGGCGCGAAAGCCAGGGGAGCGAACGGGAUUAGAUACCCUAGUAGUCC